rnacentral:rRNA from 1 species
AUACGUAGGUGGCAAGCGUUGUCCGGAAUUACUGGGCGUAAAGGGAUGCGUAGGCGGAUAUGUAAGUCAGAUGUGAAAUACCCGGGCUCAACUUGGGUGCUGCAUUUGAAACUGCAUGUCUAGAGUGCGGGAGAGGAAAGUGGAACUCCUAGCGUAGCGGUGAAAUGCGUAGAGAUUAGGAAGAACACCAGUGGCGAAGGCGACUUUCUGGACCGUAACUGACGCUGAGGCAUGAAAGCGUGGGUAGC